UACGGAGGGGACUAGCGUUGUUCGGAAUUACUGGGCGUAAAGCGCACGUAGGCGGAUUUGUAAGUCAGGGGUGAAAUCCCGGGGCUCAACCUCGGAACUGCCUUUGAUACUGCAAAUCUCGAGUCCGGAAGAGGUGAGUGGAAUUCCUAGUGUAGAGGUGAAAUUCGUAGAUAUUAGGAAGAACACCAGUGGCGAAGGCGGCUCACUGGUCCGGUACUGACGCUGAGGUGCGAAGGCGUGGGGAGCAAACAGG
rnacentral:rRNA from 1 species